rnacentral:rRNA from 1 species
AUUGAACGCUGGCGGCAGGCCUAACACAUGCAAGUCGAGCGAGCGGCGGACGGGUGAGUACUGUCUGGGAAACUGCCUGAUGGAGGGGGAUAACUACUGGAAACGGUAGCUAAUACCGCAUACCAUCAGAUGUGCCCAGAUGGGAUUAGCUAGUAGGUGGGGUAACGGCUCACCUAGGCGCCGAUCCCUAGCUGGGCUGAGAGGAUGAACAGCCACACUGGAACUGAGACACGGUCCAGACUCCUACGGGAGGCAGCAUGGGGGAAUAUUGGACAAUGGGCGAAAGCCUGAUGCAGCCAGGCCGCGUGUGUGAAGAAGGCCGUCGGGUUGUAAAGCACUUUCAGCGGGGAGGCGUUACCCGCAGAAGAAGCACCGGCUAACUCCGUGCCAGCAGCCGCGGUAAUAC